rnacentral:rRNA from 1 species
AACGCUGGCGGCAGGCUUAACACAUGCAAGUCGAACGGAAAACAGAAAGUAGCUUGCUACUUUGCUGUCGAGUGGCGGACGGGUGAGUAAUGCUUGGGAAUAUGCCAAAACGUGGGGGACAACAGUUGGAAACGACUGCUAAUACCGCAUAAUGUCUUCGGACCAAAGCAGGGGACCUUCGGGCCUUGCGCGUUUUGAUUAGCCCAAGUGGGAUUAGCUAGUUGGUAAGGUAAUGGCUUACCAAGGCGACGAUCCCUAGCUGGUCUUAGAGGAUGACCAGCCACACUGGAACUGAGACACGGUCCAGACUCCUACGGGAGGCAGCAGUGGGGAAUAUUGCACAAUGGAGGAAACUCUGAUGCAGCCAUGCCGCGUGUGUGAAGAAGGCUUUCGGGUUGUAAAGCACUUUCAGUGGGGAGGAAAGGGUGUACGUUAAUAGCGUGCAUCUGUGACGUUACCCACAGAAGAAGCACCGGCUAACUCCGUGCCAGCAGCCGCGGUAAUACGGAGGGUGCGAGCGUUAAUCGGAAUUACUGGGCGUAAAGCGCGCGUAGGUGGUUAAUUAAGUCAGAUGUGAAAGCCCAGGGCUCAACCUUGGAACUGCAUUUGAAACUGGUUAACUAGAGUUUUGUAGAGGGUGGUAGAAUUUCAGGUGUAGCGGUGAAAUGCGUAGAGAUCUGAAGGAAUACCAGUGGCGAAGGCGGCCACCUGGACAAAGACUGACACUGAGGCGCGAAGGCGUGGGGAGCAAACGGGAUUAGAUACCCCGGUAGUCCACGCAGUAAAC